rnacentral:lncRNA from 1 species
GCCUCUACGUUUGUUUCAUUCAUCCGAGCCUCUCUCUCUCUCCCUCUUCUCCCACCGAGCCUCUCUUCCUUUUCCUCCACUGCCAGCUGGUCCUCUCUCUUCACACCCUCUCUCUCUCUCUCUCUCUCUCUCUCUCUCUCUCUCUCUCACCCCCUGUCUCUCUCUUUCCCCCUCUGUCACGCCCCGGGACCCAGCGGAAGCCCGCCCGGCACGUGCCCAGACCCGCCAUACGUCUAAAACAUAUAAGGCGUCUAAAAACA